UAUAUAACCUCAUUUGGUAAAUUCGGGCCCAAUCCUCUUUCUAUCUAUUUUUAUAGCUAAAUAAUGCUUCAUAUGGGGGCUUUUAAAUUCCAGAAUGUAAUAAUGCUCUAUUUUUUCUUAAGUCGGAGACUAACAUAAACAUUAUUUGGUUUGCAUCUAUGUAGUCAGCAUAUUUUCAAUAUCUGAUUAGAUCUUUCAGUACUACUUUAACUUUGACUGUGUUUAGGUUUACUAUGAACAAUUUUUAAUUCAAGCAAUUUAUUUGUUAAAUUUGAAAUAUUAUUUUCAAAUUCAUGUCCAUAAUUUGAUUGCAGGAUAGAUGGAACUCUUAUUAAACAUAUCUGUAGGAUUAGAUACUAAUUAUUCUUCUGCUCUUUUAAACUCAAAUGGUUUAAGAACUAUGAAUUAAGUCAGGUGUCUUGGUAUACUAAAAUAUGUUUAUGUUCUCCAUCUGGAUGUGAUAGGAAAUCAAUAAGGUUAACUUGGCAUUGAGAAUUGAAUUCUGGUGGAAUAAUAGGCUUAACAAUUACUUUCUUUUUUUAUACUUUUUUUU